rnacentral:rRNA from 1 species
CGGCGAACGGGUGAGUAACACGUGAGCAACCUGCCCCUGACUCCGGGAUAAGCGGUGGAAACGCCGUCUAAUACCGGAUACGACCCGCCACCUCAUGGUGGAGGGUGGAAAGUUUUUCGGUCAGGGAUGGGCUCGCGGCCUAUCAGCUUGUUGGUGGGGUAACGGCCUACCAAGGCGAUUACGGGUAGCCGGCCUGAGAGGGCGACCGGCCACACUGGGACUGAGACACGGCCCAGACUCCUGCGGGAGGCAGCAGUGGGGAAUAUUGCGCAAUGGGCGAAAGCCUGACGCAGCGACGCCGCGUGGGGGAUGACGGCCUUCGGGUUGUAAACCUCUUUUACCACCAACGCAGGCUCGAAGUUUUCUUCGGGUUGACGGUAGGUGGGGAAUAAGGACCGGCUAACUACGUGCCAGCAGCCGCGGUAAUACGUAGGGUCCGAGCGUUGUCCGGAAUUAUUGGGCGUAAAGAGCUCGUAGGCGGCGUGUCGCGUCUGCUGUGAAAGACCGGGGCUUAACUCCGGUUCUGCAGUGGAUACGGGCAUGCUAGAGGUAGGUAGGGGAGACUGGAAUUCCUGGUGUAGCGGUGAAAUGCGCAGAUAUCAGGAGGAACACCGGUGGCGAAGGCGGGUCUCUGGGCCUUACCUGACGCUGAGGAGCGAA